ACGUUAGUGGCGGACGGGUGAGUAACACGUGGGUAACCUACCUAUAAGACUGGGAUAACUUCGGGAAACCGGAGCUAAUACCGGAUAAUAUUUCGAACCGCAUGGUUCGAUAGUGAAAGAUGGUUUUGCUAUCACUUAUAGAUGGACCCGCGCCGUAUUAGCUAGUUGGUAAGGUAACGGCUUACCAAGGCGACGAUACGUAGCCGACCUGAGAGGGUGAUCGGCCACACUGGAACUGAGACACGGUCCAGACUCCUACGGGAGGCAGCAGCU
rnacentral:rRNA from 1 species